UACGAAAGGAGCAGGUGUUAUUCAGAUUAACUGGGCGUAAAGGGCACGUAGGUGGUUUGUUUAUGUGUAUUAUUAAAUUGUAAAGCAUAACUUUAUAACGUAUUACAGACAACAAAACUAGAGUUAGGUAGAGGGUAGUAGAAUUUCUAAUGUAAAGGUGAAAUUUGAUAAAAAUUAGAGAGAAUACCAAUGGCGUAAGCAGCUAUCUGGUCCUUAACUGAUACUGAGGUGCGAAGGUAUGGGGAGCGAAUAGG
rnacentral:rRNA from 1 species